rnacentral:rRNA from 1 species
AUGGCUGACAUCGAGAUCAAGCUCGCCGUGGACAGGUCGCGGAACCGCGUGCUGUUCGCCGAAGCCGGCUCCGACUUCGUCGACGUCCUCCUCUCCUUCCUCACGCUGCCUCUCUCCGCCCUCCAGUCCUGCGCACCAUCUCCGGGGUGCCUCUCCAACCUCUGCAACAGCGUCGACCUCCUCAAGAACAGCGGUCUGCUCAAGGUCGAGGCCUGCCAUGGCAAGCUUCUCACGCCUGCUCACACCGACGAGUUCCAGGACUGUAAGUCAGCCAGCCAGUACUGCGACAGAGCUCCUACCGCGGCCUGCAAGUGUUGCUUAGUUAUGGCUAGAGUCUUGCAUGUCUACGAAGAGUUCAAAAAAGAGGCGUUUGUACGUGGCACCGGACGGUUUGUGAUCAGUGAUGACAUGACAAUCAAUCCGGCAUCUACCAGAAGCAUUCAGUCGCUGCUUCGAGCGUUCGGUCCUGAUGGUAUCUGCCAUGACUUUGAGGAGCUCAAAGUGACCGUCGGCUGGUCUACUGCCUUCCUUUCUUCAGAUACCAUACUCACUGACACAUUUCUAUCAAAUGAAUCUGAUGCCAAGGCUGCUCAUGGUAGUACUAUGAAGGAACAGAGCAUCAGUCAGAAAGUUCCACCGUCCAAUCAAGAUUCUGCAGGUUCUUCACCAGAAACUAAGUUCAAGGUUUUCUACGACACCUAUCAAAAGGAGGUCGUGUAUGCUGAAUGUAACAGCGAGUUCGUGGACCUGCUCCUGGGUUUCUUAACCUACCCUAUGAGCUGUGUGAUCAAGCACACAGGAGCUCGCACUCGCCAUCUUGGCAGGUGCUUCAGCAAUCUCUAUGGCAGCGUUGCAGAGCUCGCCAGUGCUGGUUGCUUCACAGGUGGCCUCCCCAGUGUGAUGUUACUGGAUCCAAGCAUUAUGCCGUUUAACAUUUUGAACAACAUCAUGUCUGGUCGGUGCCGAUCGCUUGACUGCCGGUGUCGGAAGGACACGAUGCCAGAGCUAGCACAGUAUUGCUUCCAUCCUGAGAUUGUCGAGGAACAGAGGUAUGUCAUAGGCGAUGAUCUACUUAUUUAUCAGGCCACUGCCAUGUCCGUGAUGAAGUAUUGGUCUGGGAGGUACAAGGAUAUGGUACUGGAGAUGGACAUUACUGUCGGGAAGCAGGAGGCUGUUGCACUGCUGCGUGCCGCCCUUACUUCGAAGAAUGCACUGACCGAAGUGUUCAUUGACGAGCUGGAGAAACAGUCCCUUGUACAGAAGAUGCAGAUAUUUGCCAAGAUCCCCUGGGGCAAGACCAUAACCGUGGAGGUCACGAGAUCCGACACCAUUGCCACCGUCAAGAGCAAGAUCAAGGAGAAGGCGUCCAUUCCUGCAGGGUAUCGUCAUGAAUUGGUCUACGGUAGCAGAUAUCUUAAAGACUUGUCCAGCGUUGCUGAUUACAAUCUCGUCAAAGAAUGUACCAUCACCAGCGAAUUUUUCAGGAAGUGA